UCCGUAGGUGAACUUGCGGAAGGAUCAUUAA
rnacentral:rRNA from 1 species